rnacentral:tmRNA from 1 species
GGGGAUGACUGGAUUCGACGGGGGAGGCUGUCGUAGAGCUGCAGGCCGGGGAGCCUGUACCCCGUGACCAACAGGCACCAACAAAAAGUGCCAAGGCAAAUGCUGCCUUCGCUUUUGCUCGCCCCGCGGCUCAACCCGUCGCGGUUGCCGCGUAAGGCGGGCAAAGGCACCUGGUCCCUAGAGUAGGGACCACGGCCCCCUGGGGGUUCCCCCAUGGCCUCCAGGGUGUGCCGACAGAGACAUGGGGUGCCGUCGGACCGAUGCCGCUAGGUCCGGCGAAAGACACUCAGCGGCUUUGCCCGGUUGGACCCUGCCGCUGGGGCGCCGCCGGGCGAGAUCCAAAACAGCGGCUAAGCCUGUAGAUGCUCUGCGGCGAAUCCCCCGGACCCGGGUUCGACUCCCGGCAUCUCCACCU